rnacentral:rRNA from 1 species
AAGCCCAACAAGCCGAACGGACGGGGGGGAGCAAGAGCCCGGAGAGGACGAGACACGAACCAGGCCCACGGGGCGCAGCAGGCGCGAAAACACCAGCGGGCAACCGGAAAGGAAACCCCGAGGCCAGCACAGGCGGCGCCGCCAGAAACAACGGCGAAGAAAGGGCCGGGCAAGACCGGGCCAGCCGCCGCGGAAACCGGCGGCCGAGGGGGCCGCAACGGGCAAAGGGCCGAGCGAAAAGGGCCCGAGAAACCGCCGGCAACGGCGGGCGCAGGGGAAACGCAGGGACCGGGAGAGGGAGGGGACGCCGGGGAGGAGGAAACCGAACCCGGGGGACCACCAGGCGAAGGCACCACCAGAACGGGCCGACAGGAGGGACGAAAGCGGGGGAGCAAACCGGAAGAACCCGGGAGCCCAGCGAAACAGGCGAGGGGCAGGACCACGGCACGAGGGCCGAAGGGAAACCGGAAACGCACCGCCGGGAGGACGGCGCAAGGC